UACGGGGGGGGCAAGCGUUGUUCGGAAUUACUGGGCGUAAAGGGCUCGUAGGCGGCCAACUAAGUCGGACGUGAAAUCCCUCGGCUUAACCGGGGAACUGCGUCCGAUACUGGAUGGCUUGAGUAUGGGAGAGGGAUGCGGAAUUCCAGGUGUAGCGGUGAAAUGCGUAGAUAUCUGGAGGAACACCGGUGGCGAAGGCGGCAUCCUGGACCAUUACUGACGCUGAGGAGCGAAAGCCAGGGGAGCAAACGGGG
rnacentral:rRNA from 1 species